AUCGUCUGUUAUCUGCUCGUCACAAAUCUGAUGCGGACGCGCGAUGGACGCGCGCUGGUUGCGGUGCGCGAUCACUAUCUGUCCGCCGAAAUCAUGGGCAUCAACCUCACCAAAUACCGAACNNNNNNNNNACUUUCAUUCGGAUUGGCUGCAUUCUUCGCCGGCGUCGGCGGCGCGCUCUACGCCCACUACAAUCAGGUUGUUUCCAACGAAGGCUUCGGCAUCGACCGCUCCAUCAUCUUCCUCGCCAUGAUCAUCAUCGGCGGCAUCGGCUCCCCC
rnacentral:misc_RNA from 1 species